AUCCGUCUGCCUCUGCCUCCCGAGUGCUGGGAUUAAAGGCGUGCGCCACCACCGCCCGGCUCGGCAUAUCCAGUUUUAACGUGUCAUCUUUCUGUAAGGGUCAUGAAGCCAGGUUCUGGCCCUGCUGCCUGGUGUGAUGGCUUUAGUUGUCAACAUGACAUAGCCUGGAGCCACAUCGGAUGAGGGUUUCAGUGAGAGAUCGUUUAGAUUGGAUUGGCAUGUGGGCAUGUCUGUGUGUGUGUUGGGGGGGUGUCUUAAGUUAAUUGAUGUAUAAAGACCCAGCACAUUGGGGACUCAUCACUCCCUAGGCAGGGGCUCCUGAACCACGUGAGUGCAAGGGCUGAGUGCAAGAAAGCCAGCCAGCAAGCAUGCCUGCGUUUGUAUAUUUCUGCUCUUGACUGUGAAUACAACAAGCUGGUUCGUGCUCCGACUGUUACCUCCAUUGCUGUGCUGGAUCGUAACCUUGAACUUUAAACAAACCCUUUUCUCCCCUAAGUGGCUUUUCAAUUAAAGCAUUUUAUCACAGCAGCAUAAAUGAAACUAGGGUGCCAAGCUCCUGGUACAGUCUGGCUCUGUAAUCCCCCAGGUGGUGAUCUGGGCCACUUCAUCUCUAAGCCAUUGCUUUGUGACCGGACCGUCCUCAGACAUGUGCUUAGCCAAUGCCUGACCAAAGGUGCUACACUGCUGCGGUUUCAACGCCAGUGAGCACCAUGGGGCCAAGACACUGGGUCCAUGGGCACCAUCCUGGUCCUGAUAUGGAGCCUGCUCCUAUAAAGAGGCUGAGAUCCAUGGUUCCCUCUUCGCCCAAGCUGGGAGCUCUUCUGGGGCUGUCUGAUGUGCUUUCUAGCCAACCCCACUUGAUGGUGGUCUGUCUGGACCAGCACGCCAUCCAGGGCCAGACACACACUUGCGGUGACACCUGCACACAGACCCUGCCUCUGUGAGCUCCAGCCCUGGAGCACUAGUUAGCAAGGUUGUAGUCAGACUGUCAGCAGGACUGACGGGGACUGGUGAGCAGGAGCAAUGACACUGGGGCAGAUUGAGGCCACUGAGCUGGGCACCGAUCUUUCCAAGCUCACUGUGGGCAGCAGUCUCAACUUCAGGCCAGUUCAAUCUCCACUAAGUGGACCUCCCAACUCCCCUGUCUCCACAGCCGAAUGGCUGCCCAUCUCUCCCAGACUGUCUUGGUGGUACCCACAUGAGGAGGCAUCCCACCCUGGUCUGUCUGGGGAGCUGCGUGCUCCAUUCUGGAUAGAGAUGAAGCAUGUGUCACCAUGGUCUGUCUGGGGAGCUGCGUACUCCAUUCUGGAUAUAGAUGAAGCAUGUGUUCCUCAGGCACUUCCAGUCCCACUGUGGCCAGUCCCCUAGGUCAGCCCAUCAGACCCCACCCUGAUCAGUCCCCUAGUCAGCCCAUCAGACCCCACCCUGAUCAGUCCCCUCGGUCAGCCCAUCAGACCCCACCCUGAUCAGUCCCCAGCACAGCCUAACGGUCUUUCUCCUCCUUGAGAUCCUUGGCCUUGAGCCCAGAGUUAUUAGGCUCAUAAUGACCACAGUGACAUGAAUAAGAAUACAGGUGAAGGCUGUUUGGUGUUUGCCAGAUUGAAGAUUCUGCCUCCCUUGGCUUGAUUUAAGGAUCAGCUGUCCCUGUGGCGUUCAAGGCACCAUAUUCUACUUUAAGAAAGACCCAAGUGCUCGUGAGGGUUCCAACCCAAACCCAGCCUCUGGGAGGGAGCUGGUUGUCCUGCAUGCCCAACUGAUGCCAGCUCAGGACGCUUCAUGAUCUCCUGCCUCUUACCCUUUGGACUUGGCUCCAGGUCCAAUCCAGAAUGGUUCCUGACAGCCCUGGGCACGGCCCUUUGGGGAUGCUCUGUCUAUCACUGGUCUCCAGUCAGGCCACCCUCAGCAUUCCGCAGCCCGAACUGCACAGGAGUGGUGGGAUGUGAGUCUGGUGUGGCCCGGGUCCUCACCGCAGGACCUCUUUUCAUGCGGCCCUUGGUUGGCUAUCGAUGGCUCGCCAUUCUCAAGGUACAAGACCAGAGACAGGAUUCUGACACUGAAGCCUGGCCCGGCUCAGCCCUCACAGGACCCAUAAGUAUGUGUGGGAGUGGGGGGUGUGGGGCCAGUCACUCCAUCUACAGACCUCUGUCUCCCCAUGGGAGUUGCAAGGCUGGGCUGCAAUAAAUAGAAAAUUACAGUAUCCGGGCAGUGAUCAAUGAAGUAUUUUUCACAAGCACAAAAAAUGUAAAGGGCUAAAUUGAGGUGCAUAGCAAAUCAUGUUUUUAAUGUUUUCUGAAAGCCGUGAAGUAUCGACCCCACAGCUAUUGAUUUCUGUUUGAGCAGCCUGCAGUAGGAAUCUUCAUCUCCACGUGCCCACAUCCUGCUGUGUGGACACACCUGUGUGUCCAUGUGCCCACAUCCUGCUGUGUGGACACACCUGUGUGUCCAUGUGCCCACAUCCUGCUGUGUGGACACACCUGUGUGUCUAUGUGCCCUGUAUCCUGCUGUGUGGACACAUACCUGUGUGUCUAUGCUUAUGCAUCUGUGUCGGUUGCCCGAGGCUGGGAGACCCACGCUCAUCUAUCUGCAGGAUUCCCCAGUGUGGGGUCUUGAUGUCUAGGUUCAGGCUGUUCUUGAUGUGCAGCUUGUCACAGCUUGGGUCAUGAGUUAGCCACUGGAGCCAGAAUUCUGUUCAUGGCAUGCUUAGUAGAUGUUCCUCACCAACUAGAUAAGGGGGGUACUGUGCCUCGCCUUUGGAGAGGAAGCCACUCUGAAUGGAGCUGAAGGGCUUGCUCACAUGGGUGGUGUACAGAGGCAGGACAGCACCUAGGCUGGUUUCUGUGUGGCGUGUAGGACCUCCCAUCUCAGCUUGUGGGACCCUCUGCCAUGGGGCUGCCAGGGACACUGUGGCUUGAUCGUAUGUCUGGCUUGGAGGCUAUGGCUUGCAGGUACCAGAACAAUCCAAGGUUUCAGUGUGUAGCCUUCUGAGUAGAGUCACACAGCUGAGUGACUCUGAGCCUGUUCUCGCUGGCCAGGCAACCCCCACCUCUGAGGCCCGAUUUCUCUGGGCAGGCACUCGCCCAGGGUGGUACCUGGAUCCCACAUCCACUUCCCAGAGCUCCUGGCCCAGGGUAGAUGGUUGUACAGUGAGGGCAGAAACAGGCGAGAGACUGGGCAGUGCUGAGCUUGGAGGGUCUGUAGCCUUGAGGCUUCCUCCAGCUGAGCUUCGAGUUCACCUGCAAAGUGGGAACGUGGGCCCCCUUGCUCUGGCCCUUGAGAGGCAGGCCCUCACACAAUGGCACCUGCCUACGGGAGGCUGCAUUCAGCAUAGGCAGCCAGUUCUGCAGUUCUGUCUGUUGGGUCUGUAGCUGCCCUGCCUAUUCACUGACACAACCCAGCUGCCUGCUGCUGGCACAAGCUCUGUUGUGGAGACGAGAACUGGUUUGUCUACCCCUUGUUCCCUGUAGAUCAUGCUGCAGGAGAGGCUGGGGCCUUCUUGAGUGCUGAGAGGUGCAUGUGGGCUCUUGGUGGAGGCAAUGGCUCAAGCAAAGGCACAGAGAUGCCAUGGAGUGAGCUCUUAGUGGACAGUGAGGCCGCCCAGGCAGGGGAAGAGGCCAUCGUACAUGUGGGCUGGGAGGAGCCAACGACAGGCUGGGGAACCUGUCAACGGAGAGUGCCCUUGCUGGAUGAGUGGCUGCCCAGAAAGGGAUGAGGGUGAUGGACAGGUGAGCGAGGUUUGGGGGAGCUCCGAGCAGUGGAGCUGGCAGCAUCCUCCCAGGCCUGGCCUGCUCAGAGCUGAAGGGUGUUGCUGCAUCCCUGCUGGCAACAGAGACUUCAGAGGGACACAAGGAGGAAUCCCCCAGGUGAAGGCUGCAAAAUGAAUGUUCUGAAAAUUGGGAUGUUCGCGGCAAGAUUACCCGCUCCCUGACUCUCUUCCCCGUUCAAAGCAAGCAAUUUUGCUUCCGGGUGCUUCUCAGUAAUUGCAAUAAUAAAUUGAAUAAUUAAGCUAAAUCCACAGAAGAGAAUUAAAUAUUAAUUUCUAAUAAGCUCUUUGGAGGGUGUUGCCAGCCGAAUGAGAAUGUGUUCGCUCUUCUCUUGUGCAGACCCAAUGUCUUCCCUUGCUGGUGGGGAGGGGCAGGACUGAGCCACACCCAUCCUUACUCCAGGAUGGUGACAGUCAGGUGCACCAGCCUGGAGUCUGGAAGACUGCGAGUGUCACCCAAACUGACAUAGGGUCCUACAAACCAUAGUGUGUCCAUGACCAUCAGAACACAUGUCUCUGUUGCCUGAGGCUCCCAGUAGGCUAGGUACCCAGUGCCAUCUGGAAGCAUGAUGAGUGAGACAGGAUGAUGAUGUGUCUGCUGGCAUUGUAGUAUCCUAAAGAGCGCUGGCCCCCAGAGCCUCUGACAAGCCAGGCUUAAGUUCUGUGUGGCAUCUGUGAUCCAAGGAGAUCUUGAACCCUGAUGGGGCAGCCCAGGUAACCCACAGACGGUUUGAACCCAUUCCCACAAAGGCAGAUGCUGUGACCUGAACGUUUGUAAUCCCUGAUCCUGGUUAUACACUGACCCAUGGCUCUGCACACACACUGAGCUUGGUCCUGUUACUCAGUCCUGAGAUAGUUGCUUGACUGUGGAUUAGCCGUGACCCUUGAGAGUCCACAUGAAAAGUCAGAAAGCUCAGACAAGCCCUUGUGUUCUCCAGAAGAUGAGGAGGUACAGGGAAGGCUCUUUCUCUGGAGAGGAGGGGCCCUGGGGAUAUAGGGAAAUAGGCGCUGUCUCUGCAAAGGUGAUGGAACCCCUUGGUGAUAGUUGCAAGGGCUGGGGCCAGAGUAGGAAGGGAUGACACCUACAGACCCUCAGAUGGCUCUGCUGUGUCCUACGCAGCAUGUGCUGGACUCUUGGAUGGAACCUGGCAUGGCACCUGAAAAUCUUGAGGCUGCUGGCUAUUCUCUGAUUCAGCCCGUGUAUUCAAUGUGGGUGCCUGGUCAUGCUGGUGUGUGGGGACAGAUAUGUGGGCUCUGAGAAACCCUGGGCAGAGUCUGGCCGGUGGAGCGCCCUGCUGUGGGAUUGAGUCCCACAAAAAAUGGCCAGUGACUUUUGAAAUUCAGAGAGAGAACAUAUCAUGUAGUGUGGCAUACCCCAGACAUCACCAGUGCUCAUGGUCUAUCAAAGUUUAGCCUGCUGUCUUGUGUUUUGGGGGUCCCACCUAAUGUAGUCUUUCUAGAAGCUAACUUUUGGCGAUCCCCCAGCCCAUAGCACCCUCUUCCCUGUGAUUUGAAGAUCGGAAGAAGCCAGGGAAGCUGAGAAGGCACAGUUGGCAUUGCCCCAGAGACCUGGUCUCGCUGGGACAGGAGAGAUGCCCUGUUAUCUGAACUCAGCUUGCUGGGAAACCCAGGUGACCAUGCUGGCCUCCACCCUGACAUGCCCAGCGGUGUGACCUAUGGUCAUUCCACGGCCAGCCUCUCUACCAGCCUUUUAAACAGCCAGUUUCAACCAGACCCCACUGGUAUAAGUAGCAGAAGCCUGCUCCAGACAACGCCAGUGAAGAAAGAGUCUGGGCUGUGGGAGAGUUCCAAAGACUCCAUGCUGAGGAGAGACUUACAGGCUGGGAGGAAGUCUGCCUGGCCUGUCUACCUGAGGACGUCGGGAGACCACAGGUACUGGGCAAGCCCCAGCCUUGGGUGCCUGCUACAGUCCACCUCGUGGCUGUUACAUUCAUGCAUACGUGUUUUGCCGUGUGAUCGCGCCGCUGAUGAUUCUCGUGCCCCCACUUAACGCGGCGCAGCUCAGAACCCCUCACACAACUGGGCUUGGCUCAGGAAAAUAGUGGGACCCCUGGCGUCAAAGCUCCAGCGCUGAGGGAAGACCUGCGGGCACAGAGAAGCCAAGUCUGCCAUGGGAGGUGCAGCGCAGAAGGAGAGAGGGACCAGUCAACUGGGUCAGGCGGCCAUGCUUCUGACUGGGGUCUAUGAAGACUUGUGGAUGGAGCGCCCAGCUCGUGGGCAAGAGGGAGGAGCUUCCGGCAGCCGAGGAGCAGUCAGUAGUCCUGAGACUAAUUGUCCUCAUGCUCGUCCUCAUCAGCUUUGAGCAGGAUAACGGAUGCCAUAGCUCAGGGACACCAUGCUCAGAAGCUGCCAGCCACUUGCCAGGCCACAGCAUCCACUCGCUCUGUCCUGCUCCCUGAAUGGCCAGCUCUACGCACCUGGAGGCCCCAGGAAGCCAUCGCCACCAGUGUGGGAUCUGGCGGGCCCAGAAUGAGCAGAGGAGAUAAGCAGCUGAAGCCUCUGUCAGCGCUGAGUGUCCGAGUGACACCAGUGGGCCUCAGUUUCCCUGGCUGUGAGUUUGGCCCCUCAAAGCCGUGACAUAUCUUGAUCUGCUUAAAGUGUGGGAAGGGAGGGGAUAUGGCUGGACUGUCAUUUCUCUUUCCUAAAACAAUUACAUUAAAAUUUGGUUUUUGUGUUUAUGUAUGUGCAUAUGUACGCCCCAUGGCUUGAGAGAGGGGGUCAGAUGACAGCUUGUGGUAGUCCUUAUCUCCUUCCCCAUGUCUCGGGGUUGCAUUCACGUCCUCAGACUUGCUGGUAGGUGCCUUUGCUUGUGGAGUCAUCUCGCUAGCCCUUAACAUGUGUCCCCUCUGAGUAAAUCAUUGUAAUAAUAAUAAUAAUAAUAAUAAUAAUAAUAAUAAGAUGAA